rnacentral:rRNA from 1 species
CCUACGGGGGGCUGCAGUGGGGAAUAUUGGACAAUGGGGGGAACCCUGAUCCAGCCAUGCCGCGUGUGUGAAGAAGGCCCUCGGGUUGUAAAGCACUUUCAGUGAGGAAGAACGCCUGGUGGUUAAUACCCAUCAGGAAAGACAUCACUCACAGAAGAAGCACCGGCUAACUCCGUGCCAGCAGCCGCGGUAAUACGGAGGGGUGCGAGCGUUAAUCGGAAUUACUGGGCGUAAAGCGCGCGUAGGUGGCUUGAUAAGCCGGUUGUGAAAGCCCCGGGCUCAACCUGGGAACGGCAUCCGGAACUGUCAAGCUAGAGUGCAGGAGAGGAAGGUAGAAUUCCCGGUGUAGCGGUGAAAUGCGUAGAGAUCGGGAGGAAUACCAGUGGCGAAGGCGGCCUUCUGGACUGACACUGACACUGAGGUGCGAAAGCGUGGGUAGCAAACAGGAUUAGAUACCCGGGUAGUC